rnacentral:rRNA from 1 species
UUCCCAUACCGAACACGGAAGUUAAGCUCUCUAGCGCCGAUGGUAGUUGGGACCUUGUCCCUGUGAGAGUAGGACGUCGCCAAGCU